rnacentral:rRNA from 1 species
AUUGAACGCUGGCGGCAUGCCUUACACAUGCAAGUCGAACGGUAACAGGUCUUCGGAUGCUGACGAGUGGCGAACGGGUGAGUAAUACAUCGGAACGUGCCCGAUCGUGGGGGAUAACGGAGCGAAAGCUUUGCUAAUACCGCAUACGAUCUACGGAUGCAAGCCGGGGACCGCAAGGCCUUGCGCGGACGGAGCGGCCGAUGGCGGAUUAGGUAGUUGGUGGGAUAAAAGCUUACCAAGCCGACGAUCUGUAGCUGGUCUGAGAGGACGACCAGCCACACUGGGACUGAGACACGGCCCAGACUCCUACGGGAGGCAGCAGUGGGGAAUUUUGGACAAUGGGCGAAAGCCUGAUCCAGCCAUGCCGCGUGCAGGAUGAAGGCCUUCGGGUUGUAAACUGCUUUUGUACGGAACGAAAAGACUCUUUCUAAUAAAGAGGGUCCAUGACGGUACCGUAAGAAUAAGCACCGGCUAACUACGUG